rnacentral:lncRNA from 1 species
AUUAGAUAUGACUGCUGCUAUGAAAAGACACAGUAUAAAUAAGUUGAACUAUCUUGAUGACAAUGCCUGCUGCAUGUGGUAUCUUGGUGUAGUUCUAAAAGUGUUACUCAAUGGUGAGGAAACUAAGGCUGGAGAGAUGAAGGUCAUUUAAACAAGAUCAACAGUCAUUAUCACUUCCCUAUUCAGAAUUGAGCAGUAGCGUCCAAGGUUGGAAAAAGCUCUGGCUGGAACAAUUUUCACUUUAUCAGAUUUGCAAGAUUCCAUUGUUCUCUCCUCUAAGGGAUGGAAACUGAAGAUGUGUAAAUUAAAAGCCCAAAGACCAGUCCCUCUUUUUUAAUUAAAAAGAAAUUCAGAGAAAUCCAGAGACUUAAAGAAAAAAAUUUUUUUUUCAUUAUGUGAGCCCAGUGUUGGUAAAAAGCAGGAAGAACAUCAGGAAGGCUGGCUUCUAAUCCAACAGACCAUUGUGUAGUAG